rnacentral:lncRNA from 1 species
ACUGUCAGUGCAGCAAGGGAGGUAGGAGCUCCUGCGUGGCUCUAGCAAUGCACCAAUGAUUGUUCGUGCACGUAUUUCCCCUGUAUGCAGAGGCAGGCCAGAUCUGACAGAUAGCGGAUAUGAGGACUUUGCUGACUUCAGAAAGCUGACAGAAAGCAACAGACCUCAGUGAAAUACCCCUCCAAGAACAGAGACUUUUGGUAGCAUUAAAUUGACCUGUUGUUCAACUACAAAGACAUGGCAACUGGUUCUUUCAGCACACAUGGAGGAAGGCAACAAACAUUGUAACCCUGGCUAAAAAGACUCUGUUUUCCUUAUCAAAAGUAGGAGUUAGGGCAAUUAUAAAAGGAUUAUUUUAUUGUUAGCCUCCAGGACUUUAACUCUGCCUGAACACUGGACAUAAAUAGAAGCCAAUUUUAAUGACCUGAGAUUUUGUUACCUGUGUGUUAUUAUUGUUAUCAGUUCCUGAAUAGUUUGGUAC